rnacentral:tRNA from 1 species
GAGGGUAUAGCUCAGUGGAAGACUACAUGCUUAGUAUGCAUGAGGUCCUGGGUUCAAUUCUCAAUACCUCCA